rnacentral:rRNA from 1 species
GUAUAUGCCUACACCAUAGCAUUAAUGCAUCAGAUUCCAUUAGAACUUCGCAGUUAAGUAAGCUCAGGCUAGAUUAGUACUGAGAUGGGUGACCGCCCGAGAAAUCCAAGUGUUUUACAUG